AUACGGAAGGUCCGGGCGUUAUCCGGAUUUAUUGGGUUUAAAGGGAGCGCAGGCUGACGAUUAAGCGUGACGUGAAAUGUAGCCGCUCAACGGCUGAACUGCGUCGCGAACUGGUUAUCUUGAGUGAGUUCGAUGUUGGCGGAAUUCGUGGUGUAGCGGUGAAAUGCUUAGGUAUCACGAAGAACUCCGAUUGCGAAGGCAGCCAACAAGGCCUUUACUGACGCUAAAGCUCGAAGGUGCGGGUAUCGAACAGGAUUAGAUACCCUGGUAGUCCGCACGGUAAACGAUGGAUGCCCGCUGUUUGCGAUAUACUGUGAGCGGCCAAGAGAAAUCGUUAAGAAUCCCUCCUGGGGAGUACGCCGACAACGGUGAAACUCAAAGGAAUUGACGGGG
rnacentral:rRNA from 1 species